rnacentral:misc_RNA from 1 species
CCAAUUUAUAAGCAAUUUUCCCUCCAUUUUAUGCUUUCCCGCAAAAAGUGGAUCUCUAUUCCAAUAACAACAAUUUAUAACUGACAUUCAAUUUAAUUAAGAAUUUGACUCGAUGAGAACAGCACUGGAAAAUUUUCAACGCGCCGAGAAAAUCGGAGAAGGGACCUACGGUAUUGUGUACAAGGCGUCCCACAAUCGAACUGGCCAGGAUGUUGCACUCAAGAAAAUACGCCUGGAAGGGGAAUCCGAAGGCGUUCCAUCGACUGCGAUUAGAGAAAUAUCAUUACUGAAAAAUCUGAAGCACAAGAACGUUGUCCAGCUUUUCGAUGUCGUCAUAUCGGGCAACAAUCUGUACAUGAUAUUCGAGUUCCUCAAUAUGGAUCUGAAGAAAUUAAUGGAUAAAAAGAAGGAGGUCUUUACGCAUCAACUAAUUAAAAGCUACAUGUAUCAGAUAUUUGAUGCUUUAGCCUUCUGUCACACAAGUCGCAUACUGCAUCGGGAUCUGAAGCCUCAGAAUCUGCUCGUUAAUACGGCGGGAAAUAUUAAGCUGGCGGACUUUGGCUUGGCUCGUGCAUUCAAUGUGCCAAUGCGCGCAUAUACACACGAGGUAGUCACACUUUGGUAUCGUGCUCCAGAAAUCCUGCUCGGCACCAAGUACUAUUCGACUGGCGUGGACAUCUGGAGUCUUGGCUGCAUAUUUGCUGAAAUGAUCAUGAGACGUUCACUGUUUCCGGGCGAUAGUGAAAUUGAUCAGUUAUAUCGAAUCUUUCGCACAUUGAGCACACCCGAUGAAUCCAAGUGGCCGGGUGUUACCCAAUUGCCGGACUUUAAGGCCAAGUUUCCCAAAUGGGAGGCAUCCAAUGUACCCUCAGCGAUACGCGAUCAUGAAGCACAUGACCUCAUAAUGUCAAUGCUGUGCUAUGAUCCCAAUUUGAGGACAUCGGCCAAGGAUGCUCUGCAGCAUAUCUACUUUCAGAAUGUGCAACAUGUGGAUAAUGUGGCAUUACCUGUCGAUCCCAAUGCCGGCAGCGCGUCGCGUCUUACUCAGCUCAUAUGACCCUCACUAAAUUAUACAUUUUACCAAAUGGUGGCAAUCACGUUAUCAGUAAUUUUUCUUAGAAUCUCAACUUCAUUUCACACUCAGACUAACAACACACAACAUCAGUAAAAUACAUAAAUCAUUUUCAUAUUUUAAA